AUGAUCGGAAACUAAGGCAUUACUACCACACUCAUGUAACAUUAUCAUUUUAACUUUGAUUGCUUUUUAGAUAAGGAAAGCCAUUUUUGCUUGUGACAUUAAUUAUCAACACCAUGAAAAAGGUGUGGAAGGCAUAAUUGGGAAGCAGAUAGCAAAAUUAGGAGUGCUUCACAUUUGGACAAUAAUAUUAUCAAGAGAAGCAUUAUUACAUUAUUAUCCUAAAAACUAAGAAGAUAUGGGAUCAAAAUUAGUCUCUGAAAAAUGCUAAUUUUAUGGCUCGGAACAAGCUGAGUAUCCAAUAACACUCUGUAACACUUUAAAUUGCCAACAAUAUGAUAGUUUCUAUCGGUAGAGGGAGUUUUCCAGAAUUUCUCUUUGGCAAU
rnacentral:lncRNA from 1 species